ACAAAUCGAAAAAAUACACAACAGAUACACAAAAAAUAAUAGGGAAUAAAUUAAAACACACCACCAGAGUAAAUUCCCUUGGAAACCAAAAAAGAAAAGAUGUAGCUAUACUUACAUCAGAAAAAAAGAGAUUUCAGACAAAAACUACAAAAAGAGACAAGGAAGGUCACCAUAAUGACAAAAAGGUAAAUUCAACAAGAGGAUAAAAUAGUUUUAAAUAUAUAUACCCCCAACACUGGAGCACCCAGAUAAGUUUAACAUGAAAUUUACUAAACAAAUAUCUGUUACUUUUACUCAUGUCUCACACAAAAUUACAAAAUUAGUCUUUCAUUUGUUUUUCCCACAUAUGAUGCACAAAAAUAUCUGUAAAUAUACAAUUUUACAUCACCUAUGACUCUAAUUUAAAUGUCUCAGUCCUAAACUCAAAGCCUUACAUUUCUAUUCACUUCCCCCUCCAUCUUUCCUUUUUUUUUUAAAUUUUAUUAUUAUACUUAAAGUUUUAGGGUAAAUGUGCACAAUGUGCAGGUUUGUUACCUAUGUAUACAUGUGCCAUGUUGGUGUGCUGCACCAAUUAACUCAUCAUUUAGCAUUAGGUAUAUCUCCUAAUGCUAUCCCUCCACCCUACCCCCACCCCACAACAGUCCCCGGUGUGUGAUGAUCCCCUUCCUGUGUCCAUGUGUUCUCACUGUUCAAUUCCCACCUAUGAGGGAGAACAUGCAGUGUUUGGUUUUUUGUCCUUGCGAUAGUUUGCUGAGAAUAAUGGUUUCCAGCUUCAUCCAUGUCCCUACAAAGGACAUGAACUCAUCAUUUUUUAUGGCUGCAUAGUAUUCCAUGGUGUAUAUGUGCC
rnacentral:lncRNA from 1 species